AUGAGCUUGGAAAGAGACCCUUCCUCUGAGCUUCCAGGUAAGAGUCCAGCUCACCAACAGCUCGAUCUCAGCCUGUGAAACCUGGGCCAGAGGAACCACCUGAGCUCACCACACUCCUGACCUACACAACUGCAUCAUCUAAUCUGUGGAAGACCUUAGUGAAACAAAAGGACUUUGGACUUGGACUGGAACUAUACCACUGGCUUUCUUGGAUUUCCAGCUUGCAGACCACAGAGUGUGGGACUUCUCAGCUUCCAUAA